GGCGUGGUGGCGUAGUGGUUAUCGCACCGGACCUUGCACCCCCUCCAGUGCAGGGCGUUCGGUUCGAUCCCCACUCACGCCA